UGGAAAUGGUUUCACUCCUAUUUGGAGGGACAGUCCUAUCAGGUUUCCAAACGUAUCUCAGCAUACUUGACUGACAUUGCAUAAUGGAUGACAGCCCACCACUUGAAGCUCAAACCCACUAAAAACAGUUUCUUAUAAUCUGAAAGGUAGACUACUGCAACUUGCUACUUGCUGGUCUUCUUCUAAGAGCCGUUAGACCUCUACAACUUGCAGCAAUCUAGUUCAUUGGUAUCUUGGACUCUAACCUACUAUACUGGCUAGGAUGUAUUCUAUGAGUAAAUUACAAAGUCACUCUAUAAGUCUGACUUUGUAAUUUACUCAUAGAAUACAGAAUGGCUUUGUAAAUUACAAAGUCACUUUGUAAGUCACUCUGGAUAAGAGCAUCUGCCAAAUGAUGUAAAUGUAAUGGAUGUGGUGUAACAUAUGAGAGUGUAAUGGAUGUGGUGUAACAUAUAUAAGUGUAAUCGAUGUGGUGUAACAUAUAUGCUGUGUGUCACCCUGUGUCUACCUUGUACCUCUGUGCAUUUGGAGAAGGAACACCUGUUGUGCCUCACCUGUGGCACCAUGAGCCCUACCACUGUGACAAUCAUGCAGCUUAAUCAUUAUCUUCAUCAUCCUCAAUCAUGUAUCUUCAUCAUCAUCAUCAUCAUCAUCAAUCAUGCAUCUUCAUCAUCAUCAUCUUCAACAUUAUCUUCAGUGUGGAUUUAUGCACAGUACAGACAAAGGCAAGAAUAAAGGAAUAAUGGAAUAU